rnacentral:rRNA from 1 species
CGGGGGAGGCGCCAUUGGAAACUGGGAGACCUUGAGUGCAGAAAGAGGGAGAGUUGGAAUUCCCAUGUGUAGCGGGUAAAAUGCGUAGAUAUAUGGAGGAAGCACGCAGUGGCCGAAGGGCGGCUCUCUGGGUCUGUAACUGACGUUGAGGCUCGAAAGCGUGGGGAGCAAACAGGAUCAGAUACCCUGGUAGUCCACGCCGUAAACGAUGAGUGCUAAGUGUUGGAGGGUUUCCGCCCUUCAGUGCUGCAGUAACGAAUUAAGCACUCCGCGUGGGGAGUACGACCGCAAGGUUGAAACUCAAAGGAAUUGACGGGGGCCCGCACAAGCGGUGGAGCAUGUGGUUUAAUUCGAAGCAACGCGAAGAACCUUACCAGGUCUUGACAUCCUUUGACCACUCUAGAGAUAGAGCCUCUCUUCGGGGCAAAGUGACAGGUGGGCAUGGUCUCGCAGUCG